rnacentral:lncRNA from 1 species
GCCCGGCUUUCUCUCUGGGGUGUGCGUCUGGGGGAGGCCUCUCAAACGACACUUUGGGCUAUCUCGUAGCUCAAUAGUUUCGAACUGCUCCAGCCUGAAAAAGUGGUCCUCGAUACGUCUGUGAAUCACUAGGUU